CAUGGAGGGUGAGAAUCCCGUUCAUGGUUAAUUCUAAGAUGCUUUAUGAUGCGUUUUCGAAGAGUCGAGUUGUUUGGGAUUGCAGCUCAAAAUGGGAGGUAAAUUUCUCCUAAGGCUAAAUAUUGGCGAGAGACCGAUAGCGAACAAGUACCGUGAGGGAAAGAUGAAAAGAACUUUGAAAAGAGAGUUAAACAGUACGUGAAAUUGUUGAAAGGGAAACGAUUGAAGUCAGUCAUACCAUCGGGAAAUCAACCUUUCGAGUGGGGUUUUGGAGUUUUGAAGUGUGUCAAAACCUUGAAGAUUUCAAAAUGAUCGCUCUUUUGGUGUACUUGUCUCGUAGGUAGGUUAACAUCGAUUUUGAUCAUCAUAAAAGGAUUGGAGGAAUGUAGCUUCGAUCUCGUAUUGAAGUGUUAUAGCCUUUGGUAAAUGUGAUGAUUAAGAUCGAGGAUUGCAACGAAUACCCUUUUGGGCUAUCCGCCUGAUCUCUGAUACGUGACCUUGGUAUUGAAAGCGUGCUUAUGAUAUUAAGGUAUUACGGUCAAAAGGUUAGAACGGAUUACAUUCGUUAAGGAUGUUGACGUAAUGG
rnacentral:rRNA from 1 species